CCUACGGUGUGCAGCAGUGGGGAAUAUUGCACAAUGGGGGAAACCCUGAUGCAGCAACGCCGCGUGAAGGAAGACGGUUUUCGGAUUGUAAACUUCUGUUCUUAGUGAAGAAUAAUGACGGUAGCUAAGGAGCAAGCCACGGCUAACUACGUGCCAGCAGCCGCGGUAAUACGUAGGUGGCAAGCGUUGUCCGGAAUUACUGGGUGUAAAGGGAGCGCAGGCGGGAAGCCAAGUCAGCUGUGAAAACUACGGGCUUAACUUGUAGACUGCAGUUGAAACUGGUUUUCUUGAGUGAAGUAGAGGUUGGCGGAAUGCCGAGUGUAGCGGUGAAAUGCGUAGAUAUACGGAGGAACACCAGUGGCGAAGGCGGAUUGCUGGACAGUAACUGACGCUGAGGCGCGAAAGCGUGGGGAGCAAACAGGAUUAGAUACCCUUGUAGUC
rnacentral:rRNA from 1 species